rnacentral:rRNA from 1 species
CAUAGCGACUAUCGUGGCAUAUCAAUAAGCGGAGGAAAAGAAGCUAACUAGGAUUCCCUUAGUAACUGACGAGUGAAGCGGGAAGAGCUCAAAUUUGAAAUCUUCAAGGUUCUACCUUGACGAAUUGUAGUUUAUAGAAGUGUUUUCUGUUAGUAGAGUGGCAAAAGUUCUUUGGAAUAGGACAUCAUAGAGGGUGAGAAUCCCGUAUUUGGUCAUUCCUUCCUAGCGUUGUGAUACACUUUCAACGAGUCGGAUUGUUUGGGAAUGCAGUCCAAAAUGGGUGGUAAAUUUCAUCUAAAGCUAAAUAUUGGCGAGAGACCGAUAGCGAACAAGUACCGUGAGGGAAAGAUGAAAAGAACUUUGAAAAGAGAGUUAAACAGUACGUGAAAUUGUCAAAAGGGAAGCGUUUGACACCAGUGUUGUUUUCUCGAAAAUCAAUUACAAAUGUUUUGUUUUUAAGGAGUUAUGACUUCAUCGGCUUGCUCCUUUCUUUAUGAAACUUUCUUAAUGCACUUUUCGGUUAACAAGUCAACAUCAAUUUCUUUUGUUGUAAAAGGGUAUGAGGAAGGUGGCUUUCUUUUCGGAGAAAGUGUUUAUAGCCUUGUGCCUCUGCAAUCGGAGAGAUUGAGGUCUGCAGCGUAGAUCCUUCGGGGUUAGAUACGUUUGUGCUAAGUUAUAGCUUUUCAUAGACAACUUGUUGACUAUGUUUAGUCUUGUAGCUUACUCGCUGACGCUAUUUUACCUACGCUUAGGAUGUUGACGAGACUGUCGAUCUC